rnacentral:rRNA from 1 species
AUUGAACGCUGGCGGCAUGCCUUACACAUGCAAGUCGAACGGCAGCACGGGUGCUUGCACCUGGUGGCGAGUGGCGAACGGGUGAGUAAUACAUCGGAACAUGUCCUGUAGUGGGGGAUAGCCCGGCGAAAGCCGGAUUAAUACCGCAUACGAUCUACGGAUGAAAGCGGGGGACCUUCGGGCCUCGCGCUAUAGGGUUGGCCGAUGGCUGAUUUGCUAGUUGGUGGGGUAAAGGCCUACCAAGGCGACGAUCAGUAGCUGGUCGGAGAGGACGACCAGCCACACUGGGACUGAGACACGGCCCAGACUCCUACGGGAGGCAGCAGUGGGGAAUUUUGGACAAUGGGCGAAAGCCUGAUCCAGCAAUGCCGCGUGUGUGAAGAAGGCCUUCGGGUUGUAAAGCACUUUUGUCCGGAAAGAAAUCCUUGGCCCUAAUACGGUCGGGGGAUGACGGUACCGGAAGAAUAAGCACCGGCUAACUACGUG